AGAGCUGUCGUGGAAAGACUGCCAAGGCUUGUCCAUGCAUCAGACUACUACCCUCUGCUGAUCUUCCAUGUGGGUGCUAACGACACGAAAGGCAAACUGGAAACCAUCAAACGGGACUUCAGAGCUCUGGGAAUGGUGGUGAAGGGUCUGGGAGCCCAGGUCGUUUUCUCCUCAAUCUUGCCUGUGAGGGGAAAGGACAGGAGGAGGAGUAGACGAAUUUUCCAAGUUAACAGCUGGCUGCGCCGCUGGUGUUGGCAACAGGGCUUUGGUUUCUAUGACCAUGGGACCCUGUUUGAAGAUCAACAGCUGAUAGGGAGUGAUGGGAUCCACCUUACCAAGCGGGGCACGCGCGUCUUUGCCAACAGAUUGGCCAGCCUGGUAAGGAGGGCUUUAAACUAGGCAAGAUGGGGGAAGGGGAGUGGUAUAGUGGCAGGGGAGUCAGUAAAACACCGUUCAAGUCAGGAUGCCUCCAGCGGGUGCAUACAACCAGGGGAGACAGCAUGCAACAUGGCUAUGGAGGAUCCUCUUGCACCUCUUCUGGGAAGCCUGUGUGCUUGACUGGCUCUCUCAAAUGCCUGUAUACCAAUGCACGCAGCAUGGGGAAUAAGCAGGAAGAGUUAGAGAUCUGUGUGCGGUCGCAGGGCCAUGAUCUCAUUGCAGUGACAGAGACAUGGUGGGAUAGUUCACAUGACUGGGAUGCUGUCAUGGAUGGCUAUGUGCUUUUUAGGAAAGACAGGCCAGGAAGGCGAGGUGGUGGAGUUGCUCUUUAUGUGAGGGAGCAACCAGAAUGUCUGGAGCUCUGCCUCGGGGUGGAUGAAGAGCAAGUGGAGAGCCUAUGGGUAAGGAUUAAAGGGCAGGGUAACAUGGGUGACACGGUUGUGGGGGUUUACUACAGGCCACCUGACCAGGAGGAAGUCAUCGAUGAGGCCUUCUACAGACAGCUGGAAGAAGCCUCACGAUCACAGGCCCUGGUUCUCAUGGGAGACUUCAACCACCCUGACAUCUGUUGGGAAGACAGCACAGCUAGGCACAAACAGUCAAAGAGGUUCCUGCAGAGCAUUGAUGAUAAUUUCUUGACCCAGGUGGUGGAGACGCCAACGAGGAGAGGUGCAAUGCUAGACCUUGUACUAACGAACAAAGAAGGUCUAGUUGGAGAGGUGAAGGUUGGNNNNNNNNNNNNNNNNNNNNNNNNNNNNNNNNNNNNNNNNNN
rnacentral:lncRNA from 1 species